CCCUUAGAUGUUCUGGGCCGCACGCGUGCUACACUGAUGCAUUCAACGAGUCUAAAACCUGGUCUGAUAGGGCUGGGUAAUCUUUUGAAAGUGCAUCGUGAUUGGGAUAGAUGAUUGCAAUUCUUCAUCUUCAACGAGGAAUGCCUAGUAAACGCAAGUCAUCAACUUGCAUUGAUUACGUCCCUGCCCUUUGUACACACCGCCCGUCGCUCCUACCGAUUGAAUGAUCCGAUGAAUAUCAUGGAUUGAGAGUACGAAUGGGUUCGCUCAUUUCUGCUGCUCGAGAAGUGAAGUAAAUCUUAUCAUUUAGAGGAAGGAGAAGUCGUAACA
rnacentral:rRNA from 1 species